rnacentral:rRNA from 1 species
AGACGAACCGGACAAACGUUAUUCGGAAUCACUGGGCUUAAAGGGUGCGUAGGCGGUCCGGAAAGUUGGGUGUGAAAUCCCUCGGCUCAACCGAGGAACUGCGCUCAAAACUUCCGGACUAGAGGAAGGCAGAGGUGAGCGGAACUUAGGGUGGAGCGGUGAAAUGCGUUGAUAUCCUAAGGAACACCAGUAGCGAAAGCGGCUCACUGGGCCUUUUCUGACGCUCAGGCACGAAAGCUAGGGGAGCGAACGGGAUUAGAUACCCCGGUAGUCCUAGCUGUAAACGUUGAGCACUGGGUUGGAGGCCCCUCCACAGGCUUCCAGCCGUAGCGAAAGUGUUAAGUGCUCCGCCUGGGGAGUAUGGUCGCAAGGCUGAA